rnacentral:rRNA from 1 species
GCGGUGGAUGAUGUGGAUUAAUUCGAUGCAACGCGAAGAACCUUACCUACCCUUGACAUGUCCGGAACUUGCCAGAGAUGGCUUGGUGCCCGAAAGGGAAUCGGAACACAGGUGCUGCAUGGCUGUCGUCAGCUCGUGUCGUGAGAUGUUGGGUUAAGUCCCGCAACGAGCGCAACCCUUACCAUUAGUUGCUACGCAAGGGCACUCUAAUGGGACUGCCGGUGACAAACCGGAGGAAGGUGGGGAUGACGUCAAGUCCUCAUGGCCCUUAUGGGUAGGGCUUCACACGUCAUACAAUGGUCGGUACAGAGGGUUGCCAAGCCGCGAGGCGGAGCGAAUCCCAGAAAGCCGGUCUCAGUUCGGAUUGGGGUCUGCAACUCGACCCCAUGAAGUCGGAGUCGCUAGUAAUCGCAGAUCAGCAACGCUGCGGUCGAAUACGUUCCCGGGCCUU